UCUCUUAUUUGUAAAAGGGUCGAUCCGCCUUUCCAAAACAAAUAUCCAUGCAAAUUUUGGAGCUGGAGGCUCCGUUUCGCAAAUGGGCUGACCAACCAUAUCCACUUGGAAAGUUUGGAGCUCAUUUCUCCAAUGGCCACCCGCAGCAGGCUCUUAGGAGGACCCGACACUACUCUCUUCUCCUCUCGAAACUUUGGACCCUACCUUUCUUCUUAGUGACACCUGGGUUGGGUUAUAUAAAGAAAUACGAAUUCUAGUUUAUUUUUGAAAAUUUGGAUUCGAUCAUCUGAAAUUCAGACAACUGUGUCCUCACUCAAUUCAAGUGAAUUUUUAUUUUGGUUCUAUUGCAGCUAUGAUUAAUCGAUUUUUUUUCAUUGUUUUGAUUCAAUUGCAACAGCUACACUAUAUAAUUUGGAAACUUGGUGGGAUUUUAGCCAAAAAUUGGAAAGAUGAAAUUCUAUCAAGCAUGGUAGAUAGGCUUUUUGCUGAAAUUAAAAGGAUUGAAACGAAAUUAACCUGGUGGGAAGGUGGAAGCUUGGGUUUUAGCUGAAUAUAAAAAGUGAAACAAGAUUCAUCACUUAUAAAGCUGUGGGAUUGUACUCUCAAGUUUUCGGUUCCUUGUUGAGUUAAUUGCAGGUUUCUCGGAACCCUGAGACCGGUGUAAGCCGAGGAUGUGGUUACAUCACAAUGAGUUCUAUAGAGUCGGCAAGGAAUGCAGUCUCUGCAUUGGAUGGAUCAGAUGUCGGUGGCACUUGGCAGGGAGAAGGAACCCUGAGGCUCUGAACUCAGCACCCACAAAACACCUAUUUUACGAAAGUCCACAUAAGUUGUGCAUAGGCAAUCUUCCCUGGAGUACAAAACUGGAGUAGCUGAGGAAUCUAUUUAGCCAGUUUGGGGUUGUGGAUAGUGCAAGGGUGUUGUAUGAUCGUAGAGGAGGAAAGAACCCUACUUAUGCCUUCCUUUCAUUUUCAUCCGCUGCAGAACGUGAUGCUGCACUUUCAAUGAAUGGAACAGACUUCCAUGAUCGUGUUUUAGCUGUUAAAAGCGGGGUUGAGAGACGACCAAGCUCUGGCUGAGAUUUUGCUGCUUGCAUAAAUGUAAUGAGGCUGGACAAAUACAAUAGCUCGAAGCAUUCUCCUUACCUGAAACAUUGGCAGAGGGUUUGCUUUCUCAUCCUCGUUCCUUCAAAUUCAAGUUUUGUAUCUCACACUGAAGUUCGAGUACCCGUCAAAGUUUUGUAGGCAUCAACUUUAUAUUAAAAGUACAUGAGAAUCUAAGUAAAUCUAAGUAAAAUUGGUUUUAGAUU